rnacentral:rRNA from 1 species
AAGCACCGGCUUAAUUCCGUGCCAGCAGCCGCGGUAAUACGGAAGGUGCAAGCGUUAUCCGGAAUCACUGGGUUUAAAGGGUGCGUAGGCGGUUGCGUAAGUCAGAAGUGAAAGCUCACAGCUUAACUGUGGAAUUGCUUUUGAUACUGCGUGACUAGAAUUAGGUUGAGGUUGGCGGAAUGUGACAUGUAGCGGUGAAAUGCAUAGAUAUGUCAUAGAACACCAAUUGCGAAGGCAGCUGACUGGACCUAUAUUGACGCUGAGGCACGAAAGCGUGGGGAGCGAACAGGAUUAGAUACCCUGGUAGUCCACGCCCUAAACGAUGCUUACUCGAUGUGUGAACUAUUGCGCAUCCAAGGGAAACCGUUAAGUAAGCCACCUGGGGAGUACGUUCGCAAGAAUGAAACUCAAAUGAAUUGACGG